AGAGAGCCUCUCUAGUGUAAUGCAGACAUCUCUCAGAGUGUAUGUUCACUAAGUCUGGUAUGCACAUUGGUGGUUCUACUGUUGAGUUGGAAGAGAGAGCCUCUCUAGUGUAAUGCAGACAUCUCUCAGAGUGUAUG